rnacentral:rRNA from 1 species
GUUUAAAGGGUCCGUAGGCGGAUCUGUAAGUCAGUGGUGAAAUCUCACAGCUCAACUGUGAAACUGCCAUUGAUACUGCAGGUCUUGAGUAAGGUAGAAGUGGCUGGAAUAAGUAGUGUAGCGGUGAAAUGCAUAGAUAUUACUUAGAACACCAAUUGCGAAGGCAGGUCACUAUGUCUUAACUGACGCUGAUGGACGAAAGCGUGGGGAGCGAACAGGAUUAGAUACCCUGGUAGUCCACGCCGUAAACGAUGCUAACUCGUUUUUGGGGCUUUAUGCUUCAGAGACUAAGCGAAAGUGAUAAGUUAGCCACCUGGGGAGUACGUUCGCAAGAAUGAAACUCAAAGGAAUUGACGGGGGCCCGCACAAGCGGUGGAUUAUGUGGUUUAAUUCGAUGAUACGCGAGGAACCUUACCAAGGCUUAAAUGGGAAUUGAUCGGUUUAGAAAUAGACCUUCCUUCGGGCAAUUUUCAAGGUGCUGCAUGGUUGUCGUCAGCUCGUGCCGUGAGGUGUUAGGUUAAGUCCUGCAACGAGCGCAACCCCUGUCACUAGUUGCCAUCAUUAAGUUGGGGACUCUAGUGAGACUGCCUACGCAAGUAGAGAGGAAGGUGGGGAUGACGUCAAAUCAUCACGGCCCUUACGCCUUGGGCCACACACGUAAUACAAUGGCCGGUACAGAGGGCAGCUACACAGCGAUGUGAUGCGAAUCUCGAAAGCCGGUCUCAGUUCGGAUUGGAGUCUGCAACUCGACUC